GUGUGUAAGUCUACAGUUGUGUACAGUAGUGUCCUAGGCCUUCACAUUCAUUCACCGCUCACUCACCCAGAGCAGCUUCCAGCCUUGCAAGUUCUAUUCAUGGCCGAAAUAGAACUAUUUGUGAACAGACUUGAUUCAGUGGAAUCAGUUCUUCCUUAUGAAUACACAGCCACUCUUCACAGAGGGUCUUUUUAGCCGUGCUUCACAUAUUGGGAUGUGUUGGCAAGUGUACUGAGAUGAGACAACUGCAGGUUUGAUUUUUGCCAAGCAUCAGAAGGAAAGCGCCCAUCUGAAAAUCUUGGUCAGGUACUAUUCGGGGAAAGAAUUGAACCUUCACCAUAUAAGUUUACAUUUAAUAAGAAGGAGACCUGUAAGCUUGUUUGUACAAAAACAUACCAUACAGAGAAAGCUGAAGACAAACAAAAGUUAGAAUUCUUGAAAAAAAGCAUGUUAUUGAAUUAUCAACAUCACUGGAUUGUGGAUAAUAUGCCUGUAACGUGGUGUUACGACGUUGAAGAUGGUCAGAGGUUCUGUAAUCCUGGAUUUCCUAUUGGCUGUUACAUUACAGAUAAAGGCCAUGCAAAAGAUGCCUGUGUUAUUAGUUCAGAUUUCCAUGAAAGAGAUACAUUUUACAUCUUCAACCAUGUUGACAUCAAAAUAUACUAUCAUGUUGUUGAAACUGGGUCCAUGGGAGCAAGAUUAGUGGCUGCUAAACUUGAACCGAAAA
rnacentral:sRNA from 1 species